CCACGAGUAAACAGGGACCGAUGGGGACAGCUACGAAUACUGGGUGGAGGAGCGGUGUGUUGGCAAUUUUCGUAAUGAAAAGGAAUAACGAGAAGAGGCUACGAAACUCUUGGCUAGACUCCGAGGAUCAAGGAGAAUCGACCGAUUAAAUAGUUGGCCGAGGUAAUUAAGAUUCAUCGUACGACGUGCGCAAUUAAAAGAUAAGGGUUGGAAUUAACUCGAAACGUAACGGUGCGAGAGAAAGGCGGAAGAUGCGGAAUAUUUCUUAGAAGGCUUGAUCAGCGUUGCAAGGAGAAAGAAAGCCGGUGUAAAGAAUAGAAGAAGCCAACGAAACAGAGGGAGCAAGUAAUACAGCGUUGAAGUAAUUUUUCGUUCGCGUCGAGCUUUACGAUGAUGGAACUACGAAACAGUGGAAAGGGGCUGGCGAAAAUACUGCUAAAGUAGUUUCGAAGAGAAUAAGGAAACGGCAAGCCAGAAGAAAGAGCCGAUUAUUUUUCUUAUGCAACUGUUGCGAGCUAUGGUAAUGUUCGGUGGACAAACAUUUAGGAAGAAGAAUAAAAGUGUAAAUCAAGAUGAGAGACGCCGGGAAAAUUCAGAAAUAAAUUCUCAGGUAGGAAAGAAUUG
rnacentral:misc_RNA from 1 species